GUAACAAGUGCACAUGCACUAAUAAGUAAGCACAAGAAUGGCAAAGACAAUAAUGGCGACGGUGGUGGUGGUGGCGGUGGUGGUGGCAGCCAUGUUUGAAGGAACAAGGUCACUGAACUUGUGUGACAUGGAUGACGAUGGGCUUUUAGCUUGCAAACCAUCAGUUACAAAACCUAAUCCAGUGGUUCCACCAUCACCAAAAUGUUGCAAGGCACUCUCAGGGGCUAAUUUGACAUGUCUGUGUUCUUAUAGGAACUCUUUAAUGUUGCCUUCUCUUGGUAUUGAUCCUGAUCUUGCUUUGGCUUUGCCUGCCAAAUGCAAUCUCACCACUCCUGCCGAUUGCUAAUGCUUAAGGUAUG